rnacentral:misc_RNA from 1 species
UUUCCGUAGGUGAACCUGCGGAAGGAUCAAUAUUGAUUUUAAAGGAUGUGCUGGCAUUUAUGCAUGUGCACUCUUAAACCAAUAUCCACCCCUGUGCACACUUGUAGGCAUUCUUUUGCCUAUGUUUCUUCACAAACAACCAUUGAUGUAUCUGAAUGCUAUUUGAUAAAUUGUAAUACAACUUUCAACAAUGGAUCUCUUGGUUCUUGCAUCGAUGAAGAACGCAGC